rnacentral:rRNA from 1 species
UACGAACCGUGCGAACGUUGUUCGGAAUCACUGGGCUUAAAGGGCGCGUAGGCGGGUCACUAAGUCCGGGGUGAAAUCUUUCGGCUUAACCGGAAAACUGCCUUGGAUACUGGUGAUCUCGAGGGAGGUAGGGGUCUGUGGAACUGCUGGUGGAGCGGUGAAAUGCGUUGAUAUCAGCAGGAACGCCGGUGGCGAAAGCGACGGACUGGACCUCCACUGACGCUGAGGCGCGAAAGCUAGGGGAGCAAACGGG